rnacentral:rRNA from 1 species
CAUGCAAGUCGAACGCUUCUUUUUCCACCGGAGCUUGCUCCACCGGAAAAAGAGGAGUGGCGAACGGGUGAGUAACACGUGGGUAACCUGCCCAUCAGAAGGGGAUAACACUUGGAAACAGGUGCUAAUACCGUAUAACAAUCGAAACCGCAUGGUUUUGAUUUGAAAGGCGCUUUCGGGUGUCGCUGAUGGAUGGACCCGCGGUGCAUUAGCUAGUUGGUGAGGUAACGGCUCACCAAGGCCACGAUGCAUAGCCGACCUGAGAGGGUGAUCGGCCACAUUGGGACUGAGACACGGCCCAAACUCCUACGGGAGGCAGCAGUAGGGAAUCUUCGGCAAUGGACGAAAGUCUGACCGAGCAACGCCGCGUGAGUGAAGAAGGUUUUCGGAUCGUAAAACUCUGUUGUUAGAGAAGAACAAGGAUGAGAGUAACUGUUCAUCCCUUGACGGUAUCUAACCAGAAAGCCACGGCUAACUACGUGCCAGCAGCCGCGGUAAUACGUAGGUGGCAAGCGUUGUCCGGAUUUAUUGGGCGUAAAGCGAGCGCAGGCGGUUUCUUAAGUCUGAUGUGAAAGCCCCCGGCUCAACCGGGGAGGGUCAUUGGAAACUGGGAGACUUGAGUGCAGAAGAGGAGAGUGAAAUUCCAUGUGUAGCGGUGAAAUGCGUAGAUAUAUGGAGGAACACCAGUGGCGAAGGCGGCUCUCUGGUCUGUAACUGAC